GUGCACUGCAAUCGGACUAAGAUUUCAGAAGGAAGAUUCACUGCCAAUCUUUGAAGCAUGUCCGAAUUUCUAUCAUUCAGCAGCAUCUGAGAAGUUGAGAGACUUCGUCCGUGGCGAUACAUUUGAGUACAUAAUAGUGUCCGUUCUCCUGGUCAAUCUUGUUGCUGUUAUUAUUGAAACCACGCUCGAUAUUCAGAACAACUCAGGUCAAACCUUUUGGCAGAAGGUGGAGUUCACAUUUGGCUGGCUGUAUGUUAUCGAGAUGGCACUAAAAGUGUACACUUACGGUUUUGAGAACUAUUGGAGGGAUGGUCAAAAUCAAUUUGAUUUUAUCGUCACUUGGGUCAUUGUUAUUGGAGAAACAGCUACUUUUGUAGCCCCUGAUGAUCUGAC
rnacentral:misc_RNA from 1 species